rnacentral:lncRNA from 1 species
UUUAUGUUGCAUUAUUAUCAUUAACCAGUCUUUUACUACUAAACUUAAAUGGCCAAUUGAAACAAACAGUUCUGAGACCGUUCUUCCACCACUGAUUAAGAGUGGGGUGGCAGGUAUUAGGGAUAAUAUUCAUUUAGCCUUCUGAGCUUUCUGGGCAGACUUGGUGGAUAGUCUGAGAAGCUCUCAACACACAUGGGCUUGCC